rnacentral:rRNA from 1 species
CGGCAUCAGCUCAAAUUUGAAAUCUGGCUUCGGCCCGAGUUGUAAUUUGUAGAGAAUGUUUCGGGCGUGGUCCGGUCUAAGUUCCUUGGAACAGGACGUCACAGAGGGUGAGAAUCCCGUGUGAUCGGGUGCCGCAGUCCAUGUGAAACUUCUUCGAC